rnacentral:rRNA from 1 species
CCUACGGGUGGCAGCAGUGGGGGAUAUUGGACAAUGGGGGAAACCCUGAUCCAGCGACGCCGCGUGAGUGAAGAAGUAUUUCGGUAUGUAAAGCUCUAUCAGCAGGGAAGAAAGAAAUGACGGUACCUGAGUAAGAAGCCCCGGCUAACUACGUGCCAGCAGCCGCGGUAAUACGGAGGGGGCAAGCGUUAUCCGGAAUUACUGGGUGUAAAGGGAGCGUAGACGGUAAUGCAAGUCUGGAGUGAAAGGCGGGGGCCCACCCCCGGGACUGCUCUGGAAACUGUGUAACUGGAGUGCAGGAGAGGCAGGCGGAAUUCCUAGUGUAGCGGUGAAAUGCGUAGAUAUUAGGAGGAACACCAGUGGCGAAGGCGGCCUGCUGGACUGUAACUGACGUUGAGGCUCGAAAGCGUGGGGAGCAAACAGGAUUAGAUACCCCAGUAGUC